rnacentral:rRNA from 1 species
GGUGAGUAACACGUGGAUAACCUACCUAUAAGACUGGGAUAACUUCGGGAAACCGGAGCUAAUACCGGAUAAUAUAUUGAACCGCAUGGUUCAAUAGUGAAAGACGGUUUUGCUGUCACUUAUAGAUGGAUCCGCGCCGCAUUAGCUAGUUGGUAAGGUAGCGGCUUACCAAGGCAACGAUGCGUAGCCGACCUGAGAGGGUGAUCGGCCACACUGGAACUGAGACACGGUCCAG